AUUGUUUUGGCAGAUUAGUGCGAUGGAUUUAGAAUCUUUAUAUGUAAGUUUACAAAUAAUA
rnacentral:tRNA from 1 species